CACCUCUGUCCAAGCAAAUGCAUUUGCAGUUAUAAAAUAUAAGAGCACUGAAAUGUCUGGUUCCAAUCAUUAUAUGGAAUGUUUCCCCAAUCGCACAGCACGGCUUAACAUCCCUUAUGAAAACAGAAUAAUGGAAGAACAAUAAAGGGAAGAGCAAGUGCCUCUUUUUUUGCAACAUUCAAUUGCUCCAUCGAAUUCUUCACUACAUGCCCCUGUGUACCUGCAAAUAAAUCAUGAAUCACCCCAAUGCAGCCUUCAAUCGCUGGGUUGAAACGCUUGUGCACCUGGAAGAUUUGUGAGGUAAAUUUGCUGCCCUUCCUUCGUGAGUGCAUAAAACGUGGAAUUUUGAAUGUAAGUAUAACUAUUGAAUUCUCUAUCCAUUAAUCGUUGAAACGAAGCCAAAGCGUCUUCGUGACACCAUCUCAGCACUCAAAGCCUCAAAGCAGUGGGAACCCCAACUGUUGUCAAGUGAUCACAUUAAUCACUGUUGCAGCUGGUAUUGGACUUUAGGUUACCAUCUCUAAUUUUUAGAUUUACUUUCAUUUGGUAGUUGAAUUAUUCUUUUUUGUUUCAAGUCGUAAUUUUGAGUUAUGCUAGAGAGUUGUUUGAUGAAAUGCCACAACUAGAUUGGUCUGUCUUAGAAUGCUGUGAAGUUUGAAUUCCAUGAAUGUUCCUGGAGUUUGAAGUGACAAAGGUUUGAAUUCUAUGAAUCAUUCAUGGAAUUUGAAACUCCAUUAAAUUCUCACACUUGUACUGUGAAAGUUUGAACUCCAUAAAUCAUUCUGAAAGUUUGAGCUUCAUGAAUCGUUCAUGGAGUUUGAAACUCUAGCAAAUUUUCACACUUAGAUUGUCAAAGUUUAAACUCUAUAAAUCGUUCCUGAAGUUUGAACUCAUAAAGGUUUUGAGCUUCCUGAAUUGUUCUUGGAGUUUUCUGUGUUUUAGCUCGUGGGAUUUUGUCCAAAUUUUAUUUUCACAUUAAAAAGUGGCUACUUUCUAAUUACAUUUGAAACAGUGACUAAACGCUUGAAAACUGGCCAUCCCACCUAAUUUACUUUGCGGAAGGACGAUGAUAGCAGAAGGGUCAAACGCAAAAUGGUGUCCGCACUUGCACGAAGAUAGCCUAGUCCAUUUAUUUUGGAAAUGGCGAUGUGGCUUCCGAUAUCGCGAAAUACCCCGGUGUAUA